rnacentral:rRNA from 1 species
GAGGGAAAGGCGAAAAGAACCCCGGCGAGGGGAGUGAAAAAGAACCUGAAACCGUGUACGUACAAGCAGUAGGAGCCCCAUCACUCAAGUGCCUCGCACUGAGUGAUGCAAGAACAUCACCGAAAAUAGCGCCGAAUUUGCUAACAAGGUUGGUCGAUUUUUUCAAGCCGUCGCGCAGUGUACCUAGAAGUACACGAGCAACGGAAGUUAAAAAAUCGGGCAAGAUUGAACGCAAAGGAAAGCGGGACAUUUGAGGAUGGGGUGACUGCGUACCUUUUGUAUAAUGGGUCAGCGACUUAUAUUCUGUAGCAAGGUUAACCGUAUAGGGGAGCC